UACGUAGAGGGCGAGCGUUGUCCGGAUUUAUUGGGCGUAAAGAGCUCGUAGGCGGCUUGGCAAGUCGGGUGUGAAACCUCCAGGCUCAACCUGGAGACGCCACUCGAUACUGCCAUGGCUAGAGUCCGGUAGGGGACCACGGAAUUCCUGGUGUAGCGGUGAAAUGCGCAGAUAUCAGGAGGAACACCGGUGGCGAAGGCGGUGGUCUGGGCCGGCACUGACGCUGAGGAGCGAAAGCGUGGGUAGCAAACAGG
rnacentral:rRNA from 1 species